rnacentral:rRNA from 1 species
GGGUUGUGAGGUUAAGCGACUAAGCGUACACGGUGGAUGCCUAGGCAGUCAGAGGCGAUGAAGGGCGUGCUAAUCUGCGAUAAGCGUCGGUAAGGUGAUAUGAACCGUUACAACCGACGAUACCCGAAUGGGGAAACCCAGUGCAAUUCGUUGCACUAUUGCAUGGUGAAUACAUAGCCAUGCAAGGCGAACCGGGGGAACUGAAACAUCUAAGUACCCCGAGGAAAAGAAAUCAACCGAGAUUCCCCCAGUAGCGGCGAGCGAACGGGGAAGAGCCCAGAGUCUGAAUCAGUUUGUGUGUUAGUGGAAGCGUCUGGAAAGUCGCACGGUACAGGGUGAUAGUCCCGUACACAAAAAUACACCUUCUGUGAACUCGAUGAGUAGGGCGGGACACGUGACAUCCUGUCUGAAUAUGGGGGGACCAUCCUCCAAGGCUAAAUACUCCUGACUGACCGAUAGUGAACCAGUACCGUGAGGGAAAGGCGAAAAGAACCCCGGCGAGGGGAGUGAAAUAGAACCUGAAACCGUGUACGUACAAGCAGUGGGAGCACCUUCGUGGUGUGACUGCGUACCUUUUGUAUAAUGGGUCAGCGACUUAUAUUUUGUAGCAAGGUUAACCGAAUAGGGGAGCCGUAGGGAAACCGAGUCUUAACUGGGCGUCUAGUUGCAAGGUAUAGACCCGAAACCCGGUGAUCUAGCCAUGGGCAGGUUGAAGGUUGGGUAACACUAACUGGAGGACCGAACCGACUAAUGUUGAAAAAUUAGCGGAUGACUUGUGGCUGGGGGUGAAAGGCCAAUCAAACCGGGAGAUAGCUGGUUCUCCCCGAAAGCUAUUUAGGUAGCGCCUCGUGAACUCAUCUUCGGGGGUAGAGCACUGUUUCGGCUAGGGGGUCAUCCCGACUUACCAAACCGAUGCAAACUCCGAAUACCGAAGAAUGUUAUCACGGGAGACACACGGCGGGUGCUAACGUCCGUCGUGAAGAGGGAAACAACCCAGACCGCCAGCUAAGGUCCCAAAGUCAUGGUUAAGUGGGAAACGAUGUGGGAAGGCAUAGACAGCCAGGAUGUUGGCUUAGAAGCAGCCAUCAUUUAAAGAAAGCGUAAUAGCUCACUGGUCGAGUCGGCCUGCGCGGAAGAUGUAACGGGGCUAAACCAUGCACCGAAGCUGCGGCAGCGACGCUUAGGCGUUGUUGGGUAGGGGAGCGUUCUGUAAGCCGUUGAAGGUGGCCUGUGAGGGCUGCUGGAGGUAUCAGAAGUGCGAAUGCUGACAUAAGUAACGAUAAUGCGGGUGAAAAACCCGCACGCCGGAAGACCAAGGGUUCCUGUCCAACGUUAAUCGGGGCAGGGUGAGUCGACCCCUAAGGCGAGGCUGAAAAGCGUAGUCGAUGGGAAACAGGUUAAUAUUCCUGUACUUGGUGUUACUGCGAAGGGGGGACGGAGAAGGCUAGGCUAGCCGGGCGACGGUUGUCCCGGUUUAAGCAUGUAGGCGGAGCGACUUGGUAAAUCCGGUUGCUUAUCAACGCUGAGGUGUGAUGACGAUGCACUACGGUGCAGAAGUAGUUGAUGCCAAGCUUCCAGGAAAAGCCUCUAAGCAUCAGGUAACAUUGAAUCGUACCCCAAACCGACACAGGUGGUCAGGUAGAGAAUACUCAGGCGCUUGAGAGAACUCGGGUGAAGGAACUAGGCAAAAUGGUGCCGUAACUUCGGGAGAAGGCACGCUGGCAUUAGGUAAAGAGACUUGCUCUCGGCGCCGAAGCCAGUCGCAGAUACCAGCUGGCUGCAACUGUUUAAUAAAAACACAGCACUGUGCAAACACGAAAGUGGACGUAUACGGUGUGACGCCUGCCCGGUGCUGGAAGGUUAAUUGAUGGGGUCAGCCGCAAGGCGAAGCUCUUGAUCGAAGCCCCAGUAAACGGCGGCCGUAACUAUAACGGUCCUAAGGUAGCGAAAUUCCUUGUCGGGUAAGUUCCGACCUGCACGAAUGGCGUAAUGAUGGCCAGGCUGUCUCCACCCGAGACUCAGUGAAAUUGAACUCGCUGUGAAGAUGCAGUGUACCCGCGGCAAGACGGAAAGACCCCGUGAACCUUUACUAUAGCUUGACACUGAACAUUGAGCCUUGAUGUGUAGGAUAGGUGGGAGGCAUCGAAGUGUGGACGCCAGUCUGCAUGGAGCCAACCUUGAAAUACCACCCUUUAAUGUUUGAUGUUCUAACUCGGCCCCAUAAUCUGGGGUGAGGACAGUGUCUGGUGGGUAGUUUGACUGGGGCGGUCUCCUCCCAAAGAGUAACGGAGGAGCACGAAGGUUAGCUAAUCACGGUCGGACAUCGUGAGGUUAGUGCAAAGGCAUAAGCUAGCUUGACUGCGAGAGUGACGGCUCGAGCAGGUACGAAAGUAGGUCUUAGUGAUCCGGUGGUUCUGAAUGGAAGGGCCAUCGCUCAACGGAUAAAAGGUACUCCGGGGAUAACAGGCUGAUACCGCCCAAGAGUUCAUAUCGACGGCGGUGUUUGGCACCUCGAUGUCGGCUCAUCACAUCCUGGGGCUGAAGUAGGUCCCAAGGGUAUGGCUGUUCGCCAUUUAAAGUGGUACGCGAGCUGGGUUUAGAACGUCGUGAGACAGUUCGGUCCCUAUCUGCCGUGGGCGUUGGAAGAUUGAGAGGGGCUGCUCCUAGUACGAGAGGACCGGAGUGGACGAAUCACUGGUGUUCGGGUUGUCAUGCCAAUGGCAUUGCCCGGUAGCUAAAUUCGGAAGAGAUAACCGCUGAAAGCAUCUAAGCGGGAAACUUGCCUCGAGAUGAGUCUUCCCUGGGGCUUUAAGCCCCCUGAAGGAACGUUAAAGACUAUGACGUUGAUAGGCUGGGUGUGUAAGUGCAGCGAUGCAUUGAGCUAACCAGUACUAAUGAUCCGUGAGGCUUAACCUUACAACACCAAAGGUGUUUUG